CCGAAGUUCUGGACAGGAUGAAGAAUUCUGUUGGAGAAAGAAACUUUACCCAUGUGUACCGAAAGUCAGUCUUUGGCGACCCGUUCUCAGCACCAAGAAUGCUUGUAGCUGAAGAACCACUGAUGAAAAUGAGUGAGUCGGUUGCCUAAGGAUCAAACUCUGUAAACUAUGUGAAUGGCUAUGUGAAAUAUUACAAUCAAGUAACA
rnacentral:misc_RNA from 1 species